rnacentral:rRNA from 1 species
AUUGAACGCUGGCGGCAGGCCUAACACAUGCAAGUCGAGCGAGCGGCGGACGGGUGAGUAAUGUCUGGGAAACUGCCUGAUGGAGGGGGAUAACUACUGGAAACGGUAGCUAAUACCGCAUACCAUCAGAUGUGCCCAGAUGGGAUUAGCUAGUAGGUGGGGUCACGGCUCACCUAGGCGACGAUCCCUAGCUGGUCUGAGAGGAUGACCAGCAACAAUGGAACGGAGACACGGUCCAGACUCCGACGGGAGGACGCAGUGGGGAAUAUUGCAGAAUGGGCGCAAGCCUGAGGCAGACAUGCGGCGUGUGUGAAGAAGGCCUUCGGGUUGUAAAGCACUUUCAGCGGGGAGGCGUUACCAACAGAAUAAGCACCGGCUAACUGCGUGCCAGCAGCCGCGGUAAUUC